rnacentral:rRNA from 1 species
GAUGAACGCUGGCGGCGUGCUUAACACAUGCAAGUCGAACGGAAAGGCUCCUGCUUGCAGGGGUACUCGAGUGGCGAACGGGUGAGUAACACGUGGGUGAUCUGCCCUGCACUUCGGGAUAAGCCUGGGAAACUGGGUCUAAUACCGGAUAGGACCACAUUUUGGAUGGUGUGGUGGAAAGUUUUUCGGUGUGGGAUGAGCUCGCGGCCUAUCAGCUUGUUGGUGGGGUAAUGGCCUACCAAGGCGUCGACGGGUAGCCGGCCUGAGAGGGUGUACGGCCACAUUGGGACUGAGAUACGGCCCAGGCUCCUACGGGAGGCAGCAGUGGGGAAUAUUGCACAACGGGCGCAAGCCUGCUGCAGCGACGCCGCGUGGGGGAUGACGGCCUUCGGGUUGUAAACUCCUUUCGCUAGGGACGAAGCGCAAGUGACGGUACCUGGAGAAGAAGCACCGGCUAACUACGUG